GCGCCCCAUGCUUCGGGCUGCAGGCUGCUGCCCGCAAGCCUUGUGAGCCCGCGGGAACUCCCGCCGGGCUCGCAAGGCUUGCGGAUAGCUUCCUGAAGCCUGGAGAGCUAAAGGCAUCGGUGCGC
rnacentral:miRNA from 1 species